CGGACGCGGGGGCGGUACCCGCCGGGUCCACCAAGAGCGCAUCGGGGCAUCCCGUAGUGGUGUACCGGCGGGUCGCGGGACGAACCGCGUAUGGCCACCCUCCCCGGUGCGUUCUUGAUGGGCCCGAAACAGGAUCGACG
rnacentral:tmRNA from 1 species